rnacentral:tRNA from 1 species
UGCCGAAUUGUGUAAUGGUAGCACGAUUGACUCUGACUCAAUUUGUCUGGGUUCGAAUCCUAGUUCGGCAACCA